AAAAAAAAAAAGUGAUAAAUAUUAUUUUAAUAUUUUUUUCUUUUUAAAUACGCCCCUCACACACUACACACACGUAUCAUACACCCAUCAGAUUUAAAUACUCUAAAUCCAACGCCUCUUUUUCUCUUCACUGUUUUCUCCGGCAGCCACCAUCACCGAAUUCCGGUGAAGCCUCUCAUAUCUCCAACCACACCACCACGCUCCUCUUCCUUCUUCUUUUUUCUUCCAUCGCCCAACAACCCACAACUCUCUGUCAGCCACCACCGCCGCCUCAACAGCCACCGGCGGAGCAGCCAACCAACCGACACCCCUUCACUGGUCUCACCAACGAACACCACAGCGCCGCCCCUUUCCUCCUUUUCUCCAUUGCACUGCCGCCGCCGGACUUGGUCGCCAGACGGACGGCAAGCGACGGCUAAGCUCCAUUACUGCGUUAUCCCUCAUUCCUUUUUAUCCUUUGGUUCGAAAAAUGGUGGCCUACGCAACAAGCAGCCAGAUCUGGACGAUUUUGCAUAUAUCCGGCGCUGCUUCGACAUCCGUCAUUGAAGCAACGUCAAUUCUUAUCUUAGUAAUUUUUUUUUUCUACUGAUUUGUGUUGUUUGGGGUGCUUUAACAUUUUUUUUUUCACUAUUGUUAGGAUCUUUUGACAUUUUUUUAUGACUUUGAAUUCUCCGGAAAAAUUUUGGCUGUCUCCGAUGAACAACACUGCUUUGGGAUCCAUUCAUGACUGUUUUGGAUAAUUGUUGCUAUAUUUUUUACAUACUGACUUUGGUAUUCGGAUUGGUUCUUGUUUUAUCACAUGUUGAUAACUUUGUCAAUUUUUUUCAACGAUCUUAUUUAGCCUCAUUACUGUAUUCAUAAAUUUUUGACUAAUGUUGAUUUUGUCCAUUUACUGUUGUAUAAUUUUUACUACGCUAAUGACCAAAAUAGAUACUUGGCUAAUUAAAUUAUCUGUCCACCUGGAUAUUUGAGAAAAGCCGAAUUUUAUUUUUUUUAAAAUUAUUAUUUUAUAUUAAGAACCGACAUUUGAUCGAUGAAGAAUUUUUCAUUGAUUUUUGAGGCUUUUGCAAAUUAAAAGAUGGAUAUUACAUAUAAAUAUGCAAUAAUAUAAAUAUUUUGGGCGAUGAUAUGUUUAUAACAAUGCAAAAGUUUUUUUAUUCGUAUCUUGGCAAGACGAUUUAGGACAGCUAAUAAAUUAAGAAAUCACUUUGUAGCCAUGACAUAUCUAAAAUUUAAUCCGAGUCUGCUUUUUAAAAAAAAUAUUUUUAAAUACAUAUAUGCAUAUGCACCUUUAAUUUAUUUUGAUGAUUAUUUAUUUAUUAUUAAUAUUUUUAUAACAAGUGUUUAUACAAGUUAAUGAAAAAUUCGUUGGGAAUGGCAUUCAAGGAAGAUUUUAAAUUUUGCGUUGUAUUUUUAUAUUCUUAUAUUUGUACAAGUAUUAUUAUAUUGAAGAUUUUAUUUUUUGGACGCUGUCAGGAAUGCUUUAACUUAUACAAUCUUUACCGCGCAUUUAGGUAAAUUUAGGACGUUAAUAUUUAUAGAAAAAUUAAAAUAAUUUAGAUAUUUAAUCAACUAAUUUAUACUUAUACAUUUAAAAAUAUUGCGUAAUUUUUUUCUUUAAAAUAAAUUUUUUCUUUAUUCAAUUUUUUUUCUUCUUUCCAUAUACAUUCUUAUAUACUUUCGAUUAUAUUCACAUAUUUUUUAUAUACAAUAAUUUAUGUACUUUAUGCAUUCUUUAUAUGCAAAUUGUUUAUAUUAUUUUAAUGUAUAUUUUAGAUUUGUAUUUAUAAACAUUGAUGUUUUUCUUCGUCUUAUAAAAAAACUUAAGUCUGGCCGAAAACUAAUUUGUGGAUUUUGAAGAGUGACUAAUACAUUUCCCUCAGAAUAAUUUGAAUUUUUACCUAGGACCUAAUUUGUUUUGUGGAUUAAAUAAAGUUAUACUUGUUAAUAAAUAAAAGCAAAAUGCUCUAUUGGAUCCCUGUACUAUACCAGUUUUAUAAGUUGGACACUUCUACUUACAUAUUUGUCAUUUGGACCCCUGAACUCACGAUAAAGCUACAUUUUAAACACUUUUUUGGAGAGCGUAACACACUCUCCCAUGCCAGCUGCCGCGUGUGCUAUGUCAUCUGUCAUGCGUGCCACGUCAUUUAAAAAAAAAUAGAAAAGUAUCACAUUAAAUUUCAAGUCAUUUUUAAAAUACUACAUAACAAAUUAAAUAUUAAAAUUAAUUUAAUUAAAUAAGAAAAAUUUAUAAAUUAUAGAAAAAUUUGAAUAAUCAUGCUUUUAAAAUUUGAAAAAUUUGAAUAAUCAUUUUUAAAAUAAAAAAANNNNNNNNNNNNNNNNNNNNNNNNNNNNNNNNNNNNNNNNNNNNNNNNNNNNNNNNNNNNNNNNNNNNNNNNNNNNNNNNNNNNNNNNNNNNNNNNNNNNNNNNNNNNNNNNNNNNNNNNNNNNNNNNNNNNNNNNNNNNNNNNNNNNNNNNNNNNNNNNNNNNNNNNNNNNNNNNNNNNNNNNNNNNNNNNNNNNNNNNNNNNNNNNNNNNNNNNNNNNNNNNNNNNNNNNNNNNNNNNNNNNNNNNNNNNNNNNNNNNNNNNNNNNNNNNNNNNNNNNNNNNNNNNNNNNNNNNNNNNNNNNNNNNNNNNNNNNNNNNNNNNNNNNNNNNNNNNNNNNNNNNNNNNNNNNNNNNNNNNNNNNNNNNNNNNNNNNNNNNNNNNNNNNNNNNNNNNNNNNNNNNNNNNNNNNNNNNNNNNNNNNNNNNNNNNNNNNNNNNNNNNNNNNNNNNNNNNNNNNNNNNNNNNNNNNNNNNNNNNNNNNNNNNNNNNNNNNNNNNNNNNNNNNNNNNNNNNNNNNNNNNNNNNNNNNNNNNNNUAUUUAAAUUUUUAAAAAUAUUUUUAAUUAUUUUUAAAUUUUUGAAAAUAUUUUUAAAUUUAAAAAGAUGGAUGGAAAAAAAGAACCUUUUUUUAUUUUUUUAUAAAAUUUUAAUAUUAUUUUUAUUUUUUUUAAUUAUUUUAAUGUAAAAUUAGCCAAAAAUUGACCCUCACUCGCAUCCCUAGGCGAGUGGUUAUACUCUCUUUGUCCGAGUCACCAUGACCUUGCCACAUAAGCAAGGUCAACGGUUAAAGGGUGCGAAAUACUGCUUUUUGAUAGGUUCAAGGGUCCAGAUGACAAACAUGUAAGUAGAAGUGUCUAACUUACAAAACUGACAUAGUACAGGGUUCCAAUAGAGAAUUUUGCCAUAAAUAAAUGACUCUGUAUAAAUUAAUUCUUUUUAGAGUCCAUAAUGUCGUGCUCAUUUUGAUCUUAGGUAAAAAUUGGUUAUGACAGUUUGAAGAUUCUGCUGGGGAUGAAAGAUUUUAACCAUUGAAGACUUAGGUAAAUAUUUAUGUUUAUAUACAUUGUUAUUUAUUUUAUACUAAUUGUCUUGGUUUAUUUUAUUGAUGUGGCAUAAAUUAUUUAUUUGUUAUUAUUUUGUAUAGAUUGUUUAUUUGUUUAUCGCUUUAUAUAAAUUGACAUUCCAUUUAUAUUUCCUCCGUUUUGAAAAAUUGACACUCACACACAUUGUACAAUAUACUUUUUCAAAGUUCUUUCAAAUCACCUUAAUUUAGAGAAUCGGCAUAUGCGUGGGGUGAUUGGGAGUUUUACUGCCGUGGAACUACGUGCCUUCUCAUAUAGGAAAUCCCAGCCCAUGUUUACCCACUCUUAGUCAAUAUAGUAUGAGCUAAAAUAACGCAUUUUAGGUAUAUGCAUAUUAGUCAAUUUUGUCUAAAUAUCCAAAGGGUUUACUACUCAAAUGACAUAUUAUUAUAAUUUUUGUACAUAUUUGAAGGAUUAUUGUAUUUGUACAUAUGUAUUUGCUUUAAAUUAUUGUUACUUUAGUGAUAAGGUAUAGUCUAACCUUUGUUUUGCAUGGCGGAUAAAUUAAAAGAUGCACCUUAACAAUAUCAUCUCUAGCUGCAUAUAGGUUUGAAUUACGUUUUGACCUGAUUCUUGUCCUGACAACAUAAGUAGGUAGUCCUGCAUUAGGAUUCGGUCUCUUUACUGUUUCAGGAUAAUUUCUCUGGUAUUCAAACUGGGCCAAUUUUCUAGAACAGUUCAAAGACGCUCUCCAAAAACCUUCAAAAGCACAAUUAAAUAGCUCCUCAAAUCCAAAUCUCAUUAAUAUUAGUGUCUAGUCGGUCUACCUCCAGAUCCUCGCCUAAUUUUUGUGCAAGAAUACCUAAUUUCUUUUAUUUGAACGUCGUAACUCAUUAAAUUUAUGACAUCUCGAUCCUCACUUUCAAAAGCGAGGAUUCAACAUUCUUUCAAUCAUAACUAUUCUGCCAACUGUAGCAAAAUAAUUUCAUAAUUCUUUCAAUGUCUGACUUUUUUAAUCUUGUCAGCAUACUGAAGUUGUGUUAAAGCUUUUCCCAUGCUUUACAUCCAUUCUUUCGAUCAUUUAAUCAGAACAAUUUUGAGGCUAAAAAUAAUUUUUUCUUGAUCAUCUUUCACAUUAUUUUUAUGAAUGACCAUCAAUUUUUUUUACAAUCAUACAUUACAAAUAUAAAUUUACAAAUUUGCCUGAACUACGCAGAAUUGAUUCUUGUUUUGACAAGAUACGUAGGCAAUCCCCAUUUGGGUUCGGUCUCAUUCUUUUGAAAAAAAUAAUAAAAUUGACUUGGUUGUCAUCAAUACAGUUACGAGUGUGCAUGAGAAAAAAUAAAUUGGUAUGAUGAAAAGGACCGACUUUAUGAUAAACUAUAGAUUCCUUUGGUGCCUUUUAUCACACUUGAGUAAUUCUUGAAAAAAUUCUCUUGCAUACAUCUAAGACAAGAACGAAGCCAACCUCAUCGUUUCAUGUGCAUUGUGUGGUGAGCUUUAGUUUAAUUCAUUGCAUUGCAUUGUGGAUCUAUAACUUGACCUAAAUAUUUGUUGAGGCGAAAUUUUGAGUUAUAUUUGAUUUAGGAAAGGACCGCAGGCCUUCUUUGAUCCGGUUGUGCCUUUCACAGCCCACCAAAUAACAUUAAUACCUAGCAACCUUUCUGUGAAUAACCGCAUCUGAGCCUCUACCUUUUUGAGUGCUUACAUGCACUAUCUCUCUUGGCCCUACCGCUUUGAGUGCACUAAAUACAUGCAAAUUGUGGACGAAGAUUGAAAAUCCAGAUACAAAAGGCAAAGGACGUAUUGUCCAAAAAAAAUAAAAAAAUAAAAAAACGACUUCAAAAGGAGCAAAACCUCACAAAAAAAUUAUAUAUAUAUAUAUAUAUAUAUAUAUAUAUAAUUUUUGAAAAAAGGGGAAAAAACUUCAACACAAGAUUCAAAAGAAGUCAAAGCAAAUAUAUAACAAGGGGCAAUUAAGCACAACAAAGAAGAUUAAGUGUCAAAGCGCAAUAAAUAUCAAAAGCACAAAUACAGUGCAAUGCACAUUGAGGAAUUAGUCACCUUCAUUCCAAAUAUUAUCCUACCAGCCCUCAAGCCUCCAUUACAAGCCGAUAGCAAUUCCUACGAGAUUCUCUUUCAAGUGUUCUCACAUUAGUGGAUACUUACAUGAAUGUCAAGCCUAUGGUAUCAUAAUUGCAUGCAUUGAAUUUCUUUCUGAGUGUGAGCGUAUUUCUUUAAAUGUCUUCAAAUAAAAAAAAAAUUAUUUAAAUAUGUGCAAAAUGAGUCUUUCUUUUUAGAGAGAGCACUUGAAGCAUGAGGAUAGGCAUAGCUCGAAAUAUUUUUUUGAAGCAAGAUAAAAAUUCUUGUCGAUACUUAGGUGUGUCUGAGGUACCACUUGAAACUAUAGGGGUUACCCUGAAGUCGAUCUCAGUUAGAUGCGAAAAGAUGACGAAAUUUUUUGCACACUACUAAUUAUUGGUAUCAACUGAAGCCAAGACAUGACCGUGUCCUCUUCAUCUUUCAGCACUUUUUAUCAAGAAAAUGCAAAAGAAAUUCUUUCUUUUUUGCAAGACGUCUACUUUCAAAUACGAGCAUUCAUUUUUUUUUUUUACAUUUUCAUUCAAGUUAUCCAUUUUCACAUAUUUACAUUUUUAUUUUUUAAUUAAAGGUACCCAGUUUUGAAACACAGGCAUAUGACUUUUUCUUUCAAGCAUAUACCUUUAAAUAUUGGCAUUUUAUUUUUCAGUGAGGCGCUCAUUUUUUGACUAUUUUUUACAUUUUUUAUAUCCCAUCCAGUCGAGAGCCUAUUACAUUUGUUUUGCAGUCUAGAGCCUUUUUACAUUUCAAUAGCCCCGUCAGUCAAAAGGCUAUUAGAUGUCAGUCACCUCACUAGUUGAGGGCCUUAGUCUUCGUAGGCAAUUGGAGACGUCAUUCAUUUUCAAGUCCACGUAGACAAUCAGGAGAUGUCAUACAUUUCUUUUUUAAUAACAAGACAUUUUUUUAAAAAAAAAGUUCAUUUCAAAGGAGACAAUAACAACAUAAAUCAUGCACUAUGACAAAUUUGGAGAUCCGCCUCAAAAUUUACUCUAUUUUUCUUAUUUCAAACUACAUUGACCCGAUUCUCGUGGCAUUCGAGAUAUGUAGGAAGCUCUAUGCUGAGCUCGAUCAUCGCAACCCUAUAAUCAUUCUUUCUCCCCAGUAAGUACACAAUCUUGCAUUCCCUAGCACCUCACAGCUCGAUACUGGGACAAUUUUGAAAGCAGCAUCGGGAAUAUAUGAAACUUUCAAUCCCAAAUAAUUCUUUGUUCAAUAAUCAUUUUUAACAUGUGUCUGUCUACCCUAAAAUAGGACAAUUGGGUUAGUCUGCCCUCUAAUAAGACAGUUAUGCAUGUUUUUCUUCAAUUAAAUAUUUAUGCUUGCUUGCCUUUACUUGCACAUAUCGCACUUCAUUUAUUUCUUUUUGCAUUGUAUGCUAUAUUUGUCUUUAUUUGCACGCAUCUUAAUGUAUUUAUUUUAUUAUUUGUUAUUUAAGCACUGUAUAUUUUUCUUGUAUUUAUUUGCACAUCUCGCAAUACAUUUAUUUUAUUAUUUAAGCACUGUAUUUUUUUUGCCUUUACUUGCACAUACCGAAAUGCAUUUAUUUUAUCAUUUAAGUUCUGCAUUUUAUCUUUGCCUUUAUUUUCAUGCAUCGCAAUGGAUUUAUUUUAUCGUUUAAGCAUCACAUUUUUAUCUUUGCCUUUUCUUGUAUGUGCUGCAAUGCAUUUAUUUUAUAGUUUAAGCACUAUAGUCUAUCUUUGCCUUUACUUCCACGCAUUGCAAUGUAUUUAUUUCAUUAUUUUAAGCACUUCAUGUUAUCUUUGUCUUUAUUUGCACACAUCUUAAUGUAUUUAUGUUAUCCUUUAAGCACUGCAUGCUAGCUUUAUCUUUACUUACACAUCGCAAUGCAUUUAUUUUAUUAUUUAAGCACCGCAUGUCAUCUUCCCCUUUACUGGCACAUAUCGCAAUGCAUUUUGUUAUUUAAGCACUACAUGUCUGGUAAAUAUCGCAAUGCAUUUUCUUAUUUAAGCGCUACAUACCUUGCAAAUGUCGUAAUACAUUCAUUUCAUCAUUUAAGCACUACUUUUCAUCAUCGCAAUGCAUUUAUUUUUAUUUAAGCACUGCACACACAUAUCACAAUGCAUUUUAUCAUUUAAGCACUGUACGUCUAGCAAAUAUCACGCAAUGCAUUUUAUCUUUAAAGCACAACACGCAUGUAUUGCAAUUCAUUUAUUUUUAUUUAAGCACUGCACACACAUAUCACAAUGCAUUUUAUCAUUUAAGCACUGUACGUCUAGCAAAUAUCACAAUGCAUUUUAUCAUUUAAGCACUGUACGUCUAGCAAAUAUCACGCAAUGCAUUUUAUCUUUAAAGCACAACACGCAUGUAUUGCAAUGCAUUAAUUUUAUCAUUUAAGCACAUCACACACAUAUUGCAAUGCAUUUAUUUUAUCAUUUAAGCACAACGUGCACAUAUCGCAAUGCAUUUUUUUAUUUAAGCACUGCAUGCCUUGCAAAUAUUGCAAUGUAUUUAUUUAAUUAUUUAAGCACUGCAUGUCAUCUUUGCCUUUACUGGCAUAUAUCGCAAUGCAUUUCCUUUUAUUUAAGAACUGUAAACACAUGUCAUAAUGCAUUUUUUAAUUAAAGUACUGAAUGCCUCACAAAUGUAGCAAUACAUUUAUUUCAUCAUUUAAGCACAACAUAUCAUCUUUGACUUUGCUGGCACAUAUCGCGAUAUCUUUAUUUUAUUAUUUAAGCUCUGCAAGCAUAUAUCACAAUGCGAUUAUUUAUUAUUUAGGCAUUGCAUGCUCGCAAAUAUCGCAAUGCAUUUAUUUAUUAUCUAAACACUGCAUGUUAUCUUAGCUUUUCUUGUACAUAUCGCAAUACAUUUGUUUUAUGAUUUAAGCAUCGCAUGUUAUUUUUAUAUUUAUCUGUACAUCGUAAUGCAUUGAUUAUUGUAAUGCCCCGAGUCUGUACCCUGAUUGCUACACGGUGCUUACGAUCCUGAAAGACCACAAGCUAACCCAUAAUUGAUAUCUGCUGUGAGCACUGAAUAAUAAUACUGUAAUAAAUGCGAAAAAUAGGCUGAAAUGACAUAAUGUUCAAAAUCUAAAAUACUGAUAAAGAAUAUCAACUAUAUUAAUAAUCUUCAAAACUGAAUAAUGUCUGAAAGUCUAUUCUGAAAAGCCUCUAAAUAAAUUGUCUGAAGGUGGAGUUGAUGGGACAAGCCCCAAACUAACUCCAACUACUGAACUACUGAUAAACUAAAAAACUGAAAUAAAAGCAUGCCCUCGAUAGAUGAGGACUCACUACUGAAAUUGCUGUUGAUUACUGGAUAUAUCUAUGCUUGGUCAGAAACUUGGGCAUUCGAACUUAUGAUAUGAGACAUCAUAGCACAAAAAAAGUGUAUGCGUCAGUAUGUGGAAUGUACUGUUAUACUAGAUAAGGUAAGGCUGAAUCCAAGGGUUCAUAUACAUGAACAAUAACUGACUAAAUUAUAUAGAAUAAUUGAAAGUGAAAGUACACGGAUAAAUGAAACUACUGUAAAUACUGAGUAUGCAAUACUGUGCAUAUGCGUAUAUACUGUAACUGAGCUUUAGUGAAGCUGAGUUCUGAGUUUUGAUAACUGAGUAACUAAUAGCUGAGAUUACUGAUAAUUGAGUUACUAAAAUUGAUUGAAUAUAUCUGAUAGUCCUGAUUCUGUAGAAUUAAAUUGAGUUCUAUCCUGAGACUGAAACUGAGACUAUGGAAAGUAAUCAUCUAACCGUCAUGCCCCUUUUCUAAAUAGAUUUGGGGUUCAACCUGUAACCCUAGAUGGAAGGGUGUCAGUAUGGUGCGACGAGUAAAGACACUGAAAAUUUACCCUCAUCUGGCAGGUACUCUAAUAAAAAUGGUGGAACCCUCAACUGGCAGGUUAAAACACCCCAUCAACCCUCAACUGGCAAGUUAAUAUCUCAACCUUCCCUGGCUACAUAGUUCUGCAAUGCAAGGAUUGCUUUUAAGGAUCACACCCUCUACUGGCAGGUGAGCCCCCAUUCUUGGGUUCACUCAGUGCUGAAUCCUACUCCCAACUGAAAGACACUGAACUGGACUGGAGUGAUACUGAGUUUUCCUGAGUUCAAUAACUGACUGAGCUACUGAGUUCUGUAGCUGACUGAAUUCUACUGAUCGUGAUAUGACUAAUACUAUUUUGUAACUAACACUGACUCUAGGUAAACAGCUAGAUUGUCGGGUAUUAAAUACCCUCAGGACUUGAUAGCAUCAAAAUAAAGCAUAGCAUAAUUUUGAAAGACAUAACAAUAAUUACUUGCCCAUAAUCCAUUCAUAGAGACAUUUUAUCAAACACUUGUAGGGCAUAAGCUUAUACAUAUACUAGCAUGUCAUGAUUGCACCAUUUAAUUCAUAUGGACAGUCUAUCAAACACUUGAGAAGCACAACUUUAUGCACAUAAUCAUGGAUAACAUACAAACAUUGCAACUAAAAUACCUAAACUUGCAAUUUCAUAUAAUUCCCCAUAAAUACUAUUCUAGUUUUCAUGAAUCUUAUCAUAAUCAUGGAUUGAAAAUAAAUUUUACAUCAUAGAUAUGCGUACAAUUAAUUUCAAGCAUUGGAAUCAUGAAUUUAUAACUUCUAAUUUAAAAAGAGGUUCUUGCACCUAAUGGAUGAAAGGAACCCAUGAAUGAACACCUAACAUACCUGAAUUGAUGAGUUCUUGGAGUUCUUAGUGAGGUUCUUGAGCUUUGUUCUUGAUUUCUUGAGAGAUAGAAUUUGCUAAUUGAGAGAGAAUGAUUUCUUUCUUAAGAUAAGUGAACAAUUAAUGAGAUAUUAGGCUAUUUAGGGUUUUAAUCCCAUGUUUAGGCUGAUUGGAAUGAGGGGAAAAAAAAUCUAAAAUCCCUUGGAAUUUAAAACACAGAAUGAACUAAAAAUUCUCGAUUUUCACCGUGUCACUGGAAUUCAACAAUUGUGAACUGGAGGCUUCGCGCGAUGCGGUGGGAUAGCAUUUCUUCAUUGCAUGAGACUUGGAAGCUCCCCGUGAUGCGGGGUUAUCACGUUGGCUCACUGAUUUUUGAUAAUUUCCAUUUGGCAUGCCUCCGCGAUGCACUGAAGUACCAGUUGACACACUAUUUUACUAAAAUGGCUCUAACUCCUCGCCCGGAUAUUGGAUUUAGGUGGAUCUUAUAUCAUUGAAAAACUGACUAAAUUUUCUACAUAUUGGUAAGCUCAAAACUGAAAAUAUUAAGUUUUUUUCUUUAAAAUAAUAUAGGAUAAUCCAUGUACUGAGGGUUAAUUUAAGUUAGGGAAAUAUGGGGUAUUGCAAUAUCUCCCACUUAGGAACAUUCGUCCUCGAAUGGGACUGAUUAAGCUGAGAAACACUGAUAGACUGAGCUUACACACUGAAUAUGCAUAUCUAAUGUAUGGAAUACAUGACUGAAGCUACUGACAAGCUGAGUUCUCAUACUGAACAUGCAUAUCUGAUGUAUGGGUAAAUGAUUGAACUGAUUCGUGAAUGCAUGAUUUGAUAUGCAACGAUAAAGAAUACCAAGUUUAUAACUAUAACUAAACAUGAAACUGAGCAGAGCUAAGGAAGAUUGUUACCUUGAACUGAAUCUGUGUUUGCGGUGAAAAGGUGAGGAUACUUGGUUCGCAUAUUUUCUUCUGCUUCCUAAGUAGCUCCCUCAACGGACUGAUUACGCUAAAGAACUUUGAACAAUGGAACUUUUUUGUUCCCCAGUCUGCAAAUUUAACAAUCGAGGAUAUGAACUGGAAUCUCUUCGAAAGAAAGAUCAUUCUGAAUCUCUGCGCCCUCUAAGGAAACUAUGACUGCUGGGUCACCAUUGCAUUUCUUUAGCAAGGAGACGUAUAAUACUGGGUGUACUGAAGCUAGAUCUAAAGGCAACUCGAGCACAUAAGCUACCUUUUCGAAUGACUAAAAAUUCUGUUAAGACCGACAUAUCGGGGAUUGAGCUUUUUCUUCUUGCCAAACCUCUUUACCCCCUUCAUGGGAGAGAUUUUCAAGAACACAAAAUCAUUGAUCUCAAACUCGAGAUCCUUUUUCCUUACAUCUGCAUAUGAUUUCUGUCAGCUUUGGGCAGCCCUAAGUCUUUCUCUGAUCAGCUGAACCUUCUCUAAGGCAUCAAACACUAAGUCAGGCUCUACUAUUGCGGCCUCACCUACCUCGAACCAACUAAUUAGAGGUCUACCUCUUCUACCAUAAAGAGACUUAAACGAAACCAUCUGAAUACUAGAAUGAUAGAUAUUGUAUGCAAAUUCAAUCAAAGGCAAGUGUUCAUCCCAACUAUCCUUAAAAUCGACAACACAGUCUCUUAACAUAUCUUCUAGAGUCUGAAUGGUCCUCUUUUCUUGACCAUCUGUCUGAGGGUGGAAGGCUGUAAUGAGGUGAACUCGGGUACCAAGACCCUUUUGAAAUGCUUUCCAAAAAUGAAAGGUAAACUGGGUACUUUUAUCUGAGAUAAUAGACACUGGGACUCUGUAUAACCUGACCAACUCUGUGAUAUAGAAUUUGGCAUAGUCCUUGGCUGAAUAGAAAGUAUGAACUGGACAGAAAUAAGCUGAUUUGGUUAUCCUAUCUAUGAUAUCUCAAAUAGAAUCAUGCUGAUGAUGACUACGAGGCAAAUUCAUCACAAAGUCCAUGUUCACUUCCUCUCAUUUCCAUGUAGGAAUACUGAACUUAUGCAUGGAACCAUUAGGCUUCUGAUGCUCAAUCUUAACUUGCUAACACGUAGAGCACUUAGAUACAAACUUUGUAAUAUCUCUCUGUUCGUCCUACUCCACCAGUAAAUCUCUCAAAAAUCAUGGUACAACUUAGUAGCCCCUGGAUGAAUAGAGUAUCACACACCAUGCGCUUCGGCAAGAAUUCGUUGCCUCAAGUCAUCCACACCUGGCACAUAUAAACGACCCUGGAAAUGCAACACACCACUCCCCCUUAGGAGAAAACCUCUACUUUUUUUAUCUCUGACUGACUCUUUCAACUUUACUAGACUAGAGUCUCUAUCCUGCUUUUCCUUUACUUCGAAAACUAGAGAUGAUUCUAAACUAUUCUGCACCCAUACACUGCUCUCUGUUGAAUCAACUAACCAGACACCUAGUCGGGCAAGUUGAUGAACUUCCUGAACUAACUUCUUCUUAUCAUCCUCAAUGUGAGCAACACUACCCAUCGAUAAUCUACUGAGAGCAUCAGCCACUAUAUUGGCUUUGCCCGGAUGAUACAGAACACUCAGAUCAUAAUCUUUUAAUAACUCUAAUCAACUUCUCUGACGCAAAUUCAAAUCUUUCUGAGAAAAGACAUACUGCAAGCUCUUGUGAUCUGUGAACAUAUCAAUAUGUAUCCCAUACAAAUAAUGCCUCUAAAUCUUUAAAGCAAAUACUACAGCUGCUAACUCAAGAUCAUGAGUUGGGUAAUUCUUCUCAUGGGGCUUAAACUGUCUAGAGGCAUAGGAUAUGACCUUACCUCUCUACAUGAGGAUACAACCCAAACCUACUCUAGAUGGAUCACAGUACACAACAAACCUAUCUGAACUAUCUGUUAAAGUCAAGACUAGGGCUGAGGUGAGUUGAGUCUUCAAAUUCUAAAAACUCUUUUUGCAAGAAUCUGACCAUUGAAACUGGACUUUCUUCUGAGUCAAUCUGGACAUGGGGGAUGUAAUAGAUGAAAACCCUUUAAAAAAUCAACGGUAAUAGAUAAACCCAAGAAACUCUAGAUAUCUGUUGGAGAGAUGGUUUUAGGCCAGUUUCUCACCGCCUCGGUCUUUUUAGAAUCAACUCAAAUGCCAUCACCAAAAAUAAUAUGACCAAGAAAUGCUACUGACCUUAACCAAAAUUCCCACUUACUGAAUUUAAUGAACAACUGAUAAGUUCAAAGAGUCUGAAGUACCAUUCAGAGGUGAUCUGCGUGAUCAUUCUCGCUACGCGAAUAAACAAGAAUGUCAUCAAUGAAGACUAUAAUGAACAUGUCCAAGUACUGCUUGAACACGUAAUUUAUUAAGUCCAUGAAAGCUGAUGGGGCAUAUUUAAGACCAAAGAACAUGACUAAAAACUCAAAGUGACCAUACCGAGUUCUGAAAAUUAUUUUCGGAAUGUCACAUUCCCUAAAUCUGAGCUGAUGAUAGCCUGAUUUGAGGUCUAUCUUAGAAAAGUAACUGGCACCCAAAAAUUGGUGAAAUAAGUCAUCGAUUCUAAGAAGUGAAUAUUUAUUCUUGAUUGUGAAUCUAUUCAACUGACGGUAGUCUAUACACAUUCUAAGAGAAUCAUUUCUUUUACGCACGAAUAAGACUGGUGCGCCCCAUGGGGAAAUGCUGAGUUUGAUGAAUCCCUUAUCUAGGAGAUCUUUUAAAUGCUCUUUUAAAUCUUUAGGUUUUGCUGGUGCCAUUCUGUAUGGCGGAAUAGAUAUAGUUUGAGUUCUUGGAAGAAGGUCUAUUUUAAAGUCAAUUUCCUUUUUAGGAGGAACUCCAGGAAGAUCUUCAGGAAACACAUCUGAGAAUUCAUUCAUUACUGGACCUGACUCAAGACUGUGAGUCUCUGAACUAGAGGCGUUGACUCAGACAAGAUGAUAGACACAUCUCUUGGAUAUUAUUUUUCUCGCUCUAAGGUAUGAAAUCAACUGACCCUUAAGCGAUGUGGUACUACCCCUCCAUUCAAAGACUGGUUCAUUUGGAAAUUGAAAAUGAACUAUUCUGUUUCUACAAUCAACUGAGGCAUAGAAUGAAUGGAGCCAAUAUAUGCCGAGAAUGACAUCAAAAUCUGCCAUCUCUAGCUCUACAAGGUCUGUUGAAGUAACUUUCUGAGAUGUCAUAACCGGAUAGUUCCUGUAUACCCUUUGAGAUAUGAUAGAUUUACCCACUGAGGUAGAAACUAAGAAAGGCUCUGUUAGGAUUUCUGAACUAACUCUGAAGUUAACGGCUAUAUAAGGAGUUGCGAAAGAUAAAGAAGCUGUUGGAUCUAAUAAGGCAUAAAUAUGUAAAUGGAAGAUCUCUAAUGUACUAGUGACUACAUCAGGAGAAUUUUCCUGAUCUUGUCUAGACUGAAGUGCAUAAAGCCUGUUUGGCUAUUGCCUACUGGUGUCAUUGGAAAUGGCACCCUGCUGAUUCGAACGACUUGACUGAGCUGAAGAAUGAUUACACUGGCCCUGAGAACCUAACUGAGGAUAAUCUAUGACUCCGUGGCCUGGAUUUCCAUUCCCCAAACAAACAUCACUGCCAGCUCUGCAGACACCCUGAUAGUUUUUGCCACAUGUCUAACAAAGAGGAUUUGUUCGAGCACUGCUGAUACUACCUUGAGAUUUAGAGCCUGUGACACUAUCAUUGUUUCCAUUUCUGAACUUAGGGACUGGAGAACUGGCUGAGGAUGGAGCUGGAAUCGAAGACUUUGAACGAAAUUGGAAAUGGUUACCGCCCUCUUACUUAGACUGAUUAAAAUUGAAUCUACCUAUUUUGGCUCUCUUAUUCUACCUCUCUCUGUCUCUAUUCGUAGCCUCUUCUAUCUAUUGAGCAUGGACCAUGAGCCUGGAUAUGUCCAUCUCCUUAAUCAACAUCGCAGUUCUGCACUCUUUAACCACAUUAUCUGAUACCUUAGACAUGAAUUUGCUCAUUCUAGACCUACUGUCCGCCACUACAUGGGGAUCAUACCUGGCUAACUGAGUAAACUUAAGGGAAUACUCUUUUACGCUCGUACUGCCCUGCCUGAGAUUGAUGAACUCUAACACCUUGGCUUCUCUCAGCUCUAAGGGAAAGAAUCUAUCUAGAAAAGUAGUAGCAAACUUUUCCCACUUUAUGGGCUCUACAUUGGUGCCCCUGUCUACCUUCCACUGCUUAAAUCACGUAUGAGCUACAUCUUGUAGCUGAUAGGGAGCUAAAUCAGCACUCUUACUGGAAGUCACUCCCAUAAUAUCUGUGACUUUCUGAACCUGAUCGAGGAACUCCUGUGGGUCCUCUUCUGACUUUUCCUGAGAAUAGGGGAGGAUUCAUUUAGGUGAAGUCCCAAAUCUUGGAUGCAGCAGUAUUGGCUUAUGGGUUAUCCUGAAUAACAGUUUGUCAUUCAUUCUAAGUUAUUACGAAAUUAGCUAGAGAAGUGAAUGUAGCUCUGAAUUCUGCAUGGAAGAUAUGCUCGUCUAUGGGAUCUGCCUGAACGGGUUGAGGUGCUGACUGAUUUUUGGACCUUCUUCCGUUAGUAUUUUUGGGAGGCAUGUUUUAUAAACAGAUGAAAAAUCAAAUUAGACUGAAAGUUUAACUUGAGCUCAUGCUUACUCACACGAUAUGAAUACUGAAAGAAGAAAAACUUUUCCUAAAAUAUUUCAUAGCCUCCUGUCCAUAAAUGUGGCUCGUUACACACCCAUGCAUAAGACUCUACUCGAUGCGGUUUUUAGACUCCUUAGGACUCUGUUGAACCUUAGGCUCUGAUACUAAGUUUGUAACUCCCUGAGGCUGUACCCCGAAUGCUACACGGUGCUUACAAUCCCGAAGGACCACAAGCUAAACCAUGACUUAUAUCUGUUGUGAGCAAUGAAUAAUAAUAUUGUAAUAAAUACAAAAAAUUGGCUGAAAUGCCAUAAGGUUCAAAAUCUGAAAUACUGAUAAAGAAUAUCAACUGUAUUAAUAAUCUGCCAAACUGAAUAAUGUCUGAAAGUCUAGUCUGAGAAGCUUCUAACUGAACUGUCUGAAGGUAAAGUUGAUGGGACGAGCCCCCAACUAACUUCGAAUACUGAACUACUGAUAAAUUAAAAUACUAAAAUAAAAGUAUGCCCUUGAUAGUUGAGGACUCACUACUGAAAUUGCUGCUGAUAACUGGAUCUGUCUAUGCGCGGUCAGGAACCUAGGUGUUCGAACCUAUAAUAUGAGGCAUCAUAACGCAAAGAAAGAGUAUGCAUCAGUAAGUGGAAUGUACUGGUAUGCUAGAUGAGAUAAGGCUGAAUGCAAGGGUUCAUAUGCAUGGACAAUAAAUGACUGAAUCAUAUAGAGUAACUAAAUAUGAAAGUACAUAGAUAACUUAAAGUGUUGUAAAUACUGAGUAGGCAAUACUGUGCAUAUGCGUGUAUACUGCAACUGCGCUUUUACUGAAGCUGAGUUCUAAUUUUUUAUAACUCAGUAACUGAUAUAUGAGAUUACUGAUAACUGAGUUACUAAAAUUGAUUGACUGUAUCUGACAGUCCUGAUUCUAUAGAACUGCAUUAAGUUCUAUCUUGAGACUAAAACUGAGACUGUAGGAAGUAAUCAUCUAACCAACAUGCCCCUUUUUUGAAUAAAUUUGGGGUCCAACCUGUAACCCCAGCUGGAGGGAUGUCAGUACCGUGCCAUGGGUAAAGACACUAAAGAGUUCCCCUCAUCUGGCAGGUACUCUAAUGAGAACGGUGGAACCCUCAACUGGCAGGUUAAAACACCUUAUCAACCCUCAACUGGCAGGUUAAUGUCUCAACCUAUGCUGGCUACGUAGUUAUGGAAUGUAGGGAUUGCUUAUAAGGAUCAUACCCUCUAUUGGCAGGUGAGCCCCCAUCCUUGGAUUCACUCGGUGCUGAAUCCUACUCCUAACUAAAAGAUGCUAAACCGAGUAUACUGAACUGGACUGGACUGAUACUGAGUUUACUGAGUUAUUCUGAGUUUUGUAACUGACUGAGUUCUACUGAGUUCUAUAGCUGACUGAAUUCUAUUGAUUGUGACAUGACUGAUACUAUUCUGUAACUAACACUGGCUCUAGGUAAACAGCUAGAUCAUCAGGUAUUAAAUACCCCCAAGACUUGAUAGCAUGAAAAUAAAGCAUAGGAUAAUCUUAAAAGAUAUAAUAAUAAUUACUUGCCCAUAUUUCAUUCAUAGAGACAUUUUAUCAAACACUUGUAGGGCAUAAGCUUGUACAUAUACUAGCAUGUCAUGAUUGCACCAUUUAAUUCAUAUGGACAUUCUAUCAUACACUUGGGAACCAUAACUUUAUGUACAUAAUCAUGGAUAACAUACAAGCAUUACAACUAAAAUACCCAAACUUGCAAAUUCAUAUAAUUCCCGAUAAAUACUAUUCUAUUUUUCAUGAAUCUUAUCAUAAUCACAGAUUGAAACCAAUUUAACAUCAAAGAUAUGCGUACAAUCAAUUUUAAACAGUGGAAUCAUGAAUCUAUAACUUGUAAUUUAAAAAUAAGUUCUUGGGAUUCAUGGGAGAAAGAAACCCAUGAAUGAACACCUAACAUACCUGAAUUGAUGAGUUCUUGGAGUUCUUAGUGAGUUUCUUAAGCUUUGUUCUUGAUUUCUUGAGAGCUGGGGUUUGCUAAUUGAGAAAGAAUGAUUUCUUUCUUGAGAUAAGUGAGCAAUUAAUGAGAUAUUAGGCUAUUUAGGACUUUAAUCCCGUGUUUAGGCUAACUAAAAUGAGAAAAAAGACCUAAAAGCCCUUAAAAUUUAAAACUUGGAAUGAACUAAAAUUUUUUGGUUUUUACCCUUGGCGCGAUGCGGUUCUAUCACGUCGUAUCACUGGAAUUCGACAAUUAUGAACUGGAGGCUUGGCGCGAUGCGGUGGGAUAACUUUGCUUCACUGCAUGAGACCUGGAAGCUCACCGCAAUGCGGGGUUAUCGUGUUGACUUACUGGAUUUUGACAAUUGCCAUUUGGCAUGCCUCCGCGAUGCGCUGAAGUGCCAGUUGGCAUACUAUUUUACUAAAAUGGCUCUAACUCCUUGUCCGGGUAUCGGAUUUGGGUGGAUCUUAUAUCAUUGGAAGGCUGACUGAAUUUUCUACGCAUUGGAAAGCUCAAAAUUAAAAAAUACUGAGCAUUUUAAAAAAAAUUAUAUAGGAUAACGCAUGUACUGAGGGUUAAUUAAGUUAGGAAAAUACGAGGUAUUACAAUUUUGUUAUUUUGGCACUACAUACUUUGUCUUUAUCUGCACAUAUCACAAUACAUUUAUUUUACUAUUUAAGCACUGGAUCUUAUCUUUGUCUGUACCAUUUUUUAAUUUAUUUAUUUAAGCACUGCAUGUUAUCUUUAAUUUUUGAAAAAAAUCCACCUUAGUUUUUUCUAAUUUUUUUGCAGGCAUGAAUUGAGUUCGUCCACUCUAAAAUAUGAAAUUUUGAAUUAGUCUGCCCUCUAAUUAGACCUUUUAUGCAUGUUUGUCUUCAAUUAAAUACUUUUCUUGUCUUUGAUGAAAUCUUACAAUGCCUUUAUUUAUUUAUUUAUCUUUAUAUUAGUUACGCACUAUAUGUCAUUUUUUUGAAUUUCUUGAAAAAUAAAAAAUCAGGCUUUCUUACUCGUUUGUCUACUUUUUUUUAGUUUUAUAAAUUUUGUAAGCAUAGAAUUCGAUGACGCAUUGAGUUUGUUCAAUCCAAAGUAGAACAUGUUGGGAUAGCUUUUGAGCUAUAUUCGACCUGAUCUUUAUGCAACUCGAAAAUGUAGGCAAUUCUAAAUUAGAAUUCACUUAAAUUUUUUAUCAAAAAUAAUAUUUUGUCUAGCAAAAUUGGCUUCGCUCAACAUUUUCGUUUGAAGACCUCUACAUUAUCUUCAAACGAAAAGGGGCAAACUGUUGACACCUAAUUUUGCCUCUCCAAAUGUGAAAUUAACGCAUUUAGGCUUCGUGAUCUUUAAAUGGUAGAAAAUGUAAUUUUCAUACUUUUUUUUCCUAAUUUUUAUCAAUUUAUUGAUAAUCGUCAUCAUUUUAUGAUUUUCAUCAAUUUUUGUCAUAUUUUAAUUUUUAUAUAAUUUAUUGAUAAUUAUCUUUAAUUUCGUAAAUUUUAAAAUUUUUAUCAGUUUAUUAUUAUUUUAAUAUUUUUGCACAGUACUCUACAUAAGUAUACAAUGUAGCACUGCAAUUUUUUACCGCAUAGUAUAAUUUUAAUUAUUUAUAGCAUAAUAUAUUUUUUCAAGAUAAUUAUAUUUUUAUUUAUUAUUUAUAUUCUUUUGAUAUUUAUACAUCGACAUUCAUUAUUUAAUAUGUUAUUUAAUACGACGUGCAAAAGUGAAUUGAUUUAAUUAUUUUAAUACACAGAAUAAUAAAUUAGUCAAAUCAAGAUUUCCUUACUUUUUAAAUUUUUUUAUUCUAUUUCACCCACUAUCUCUAAUUUAAGGGAUAUGUUGGAAAAAGUAGAUGUGAUAAAUAUUAUUUUAUUAUUUUUUCCUUUUUCAAAUACUCCAUACACACUACACACACAAGAAAAAUUUUAUUUUGAGUGAGACUCAACCAACAAUAGUUGUAUGAGGCUCUACUAACAUCUUGACACGUGGAUUGUGAGACCCAUCUCACAAGUGAACAAGAAAAAUAACUGUACAGUAAAAAAAAAUGGAGGGAACCAACAAUGAUUUUUUCUCCUUAAAAGAUUACUCUAUUGAUCAUAUAUAAUAUUAUUGAUCACUUUCUUUCUUGAAGGAACACCAAGAUCUAUUACAAUAUUGUUGAUGAUUUUCUUUCUCAAACAGAUCAAAUUUGUUACAAAAUUAUUGAGCACUUUCUUUCUCAAAGAGACAUUAGUUAUAUUCUUAUCCAUGAGAACUUCUGUAUAGAUAAUAAAUUCAUUACCUUUUUUUUAUUAUUCUUUUAUUUUUAGAACAACAAACUAUGUACUCUAAAUAUAGUAAAUAUCAAAUAUGUACUAUAUACAAUUUAUUUUUACUCGUUAUUUAUUUGAAUCUACUUACUUAGUGAACUUUAUUUUGAAUGAGAAUAUCAUCAAGAUAAUAGUUUAUAUAUGACUUGUAAAUAAAAUGUCCUUUAUACAAAGCACUUCGUAUAUCAAUUGUUGCUGCCAUGUGUGAUCUUCGUGACUCGUUGAAAAAUUCUGUCAAACAUAAAAAUAUUUUUAUUAGAAAACAAAAAUAAAAUCAAGGUUUGACAAAUUAUAAUAUAAGCAUUAUAGUAUUACAAGAAAAAAAAUAUAAAUAUUUCUACACUAAAAUAACUUUUGACUGAUUUUAAUAUUUUUAUUUUGUUUGUACAGAUUGUGUUUCAAAUCAGAAAUGGAGAAUGUUAAUGUUGAAAAAGGUUCUGCUAAUCAAGAAGAUAAUAUCUCACUUCUAUAAAAUAUUCUUAUAGUUUAUUAUUUUUUGUGUUUCAUGCUUCUAAUUUAAACAUUGUUAUCUUAAAUCACAAUGAAAAUAAUUACAAUCAUUUUUCAGGAGCUCAUAAUUCUUAUACCAUCGAUAAACAUUUUGUAUUUGAAAUUGGUAUGAAAUUUUAUUCGGAAGAGGAAUCAUACAAUGCAUAUAAUUGAUAUGCCGUGGCAAAAGAUUUUGGUGUUCGAAAAGGUCCAAAGACUAAAAAUAGAAAUAACGAGAUAACGAGAUGCUUAUUUUUUUGUUCUUGUGAAGGACAAUCUGAUAAACCUUCUCCUUUUCAAGAAAGAAAGCGACAAAGAUUAGAAUAUAGAUGUGGAUGCUUGGCUCAUAUCAAAUUUCAAAUAUCAAAUGACAUGUGGGAAGUAUGUGAAUUUAAUGAUGUGCAUAGUCAUCCAAUGAUAAAAGACAAUUUAAGGCAUUUCAUACAAUCUGGUCGAAAGCAUACAAGUGCUACCAAAAAUAUUCUUGGUUCUAUGAUCGAGGUUGGCAUUCGCACUAAAAAAGCUGUUCGAUAUCUUCAAAAUGAAGCAGGUAAAAUUGAAAAUACAGAAUUUAUUGCGCAAGAUGCUCAUAACUUCAUACAAGCACAUAAGAGAAAUAUAAUUAGUGGUGGAGAUGCUCAAACUUUGAUAAAUUAUUUUAUGUAUUUGCAAUCGGAGGACUCAAAUUUCUUUUAUUCUUUUCAAGAUGAUGAAGAUGGCAGAUUGUGCAACUUUUUUUUUUGGAGAGAUAGCAUAUCUAGAUUGCACUAUGAGUGUUUUGGGGAUGUGGUGAUUUUUGACACCACAUAUAGCACAAAUAAAUAUAACAUGAUUUGUGCUCCAUUUGUUGGUGUAAAUAAUCAUUGAAAAAAUAUUUUCUUUGAAUGUGCAUUCUUGUGUGAUGAAACAAUUGGCUCUUUUAUUUGGCUAUUUCAAACAUUCCUAAAGGGAAUGGGAGGAAAAACACCAACAAUAAUUUUUACCGAUCAAGUUCCUGCUAUAGUAGCUGCUAUAGAGAGGUUUUUUCUAAAAUAUGUCAUCGGUUAUGUGAAUGACACAUUGAAAGAAAUGCUCAGAAAAAUAUACCCCAUCUUUACUGAAAACAAGGAUUUCAAAACUACUUUGAUACUCUCUUAUGGAGAUGCAAGUCAGAACCAAAAUUUGAAGUGACAAGGCAGAACAUGAUAUCUGAAUGGAAUUGUGAAAAUAAUACUUGGCUAAAAAACUAUAUGAUUUAAGAAAGAAAUGGUGUCCUGCAUUUAAUCGUUUCAUUUUUUCAGCGGACGUUAAAUCAACUCAAAGAAGUGAAAGUACAAAUAGAGUUUUCACAGAAAUAACAUGCAAGACAAUGAGUAUAACUGAAUUUGUGAAGCAAUAUAAGCAACGAACAACUGAAAUGUGUGACAGUGAGGCAAUUGAGGAUUACAAAUGUCGAGGAAAGCCUAAACUUUUCAUAGAAGACUGUGGGAUGUUGAAGCAUGCUAGUAGUGUGUAUACAAGAUGAAUUUUUACAAAGUUUCAACAUGAAUUUUUGCAAAGGACAACUAAAAAAGUAAUCAAUUUGAAAACUAAUGAGAAUAAAACGGUAUAUACAGUUUUAAAGGGUGAAAGUGAGCAAAUUGAAACUGUCCAGUUCAAUUCUCUUGAUAAUUCUAUUUUCUAUAGUUGUCAAAUAUUUGAAAUCAUGGGUUAGCUGUGUUAUCAUACAUUAAAAGUUUUAUUGUUUGACUUAAGUUUUUCUUGUAUAUCUGAGAAAUACAUUUUGAAAAGGUGAACUAAGAAUGCCAAGCAUGGCAGUGGAUUUGAAGAGUACACCAAAUAAAGGAGACAAUGAAAUCCUCAAUGGCAAUUUGCUUAAAUGGAUUAAUGAAGGUGUCUCUUACUGUUAUGACUUUAGCGGACAAUGACUUAGACUGCGAGGAAAUUGCCCGAAAAUAUUUGUAUCAGGCAAAGAUUGAGAUUAUUAAGCAUCAAAGUGAAUUGUAUGCUGAAAAUUAUGAGAAGGAUAAGAACAAGCUCAGUGGAACUAAUCCUGUUACAGGGUGUAAGGAUCAAGAUUUGGAUCCAAUUAAGAAAAAAAACAAGAAAAGUUGAUACGAAAGAAUGAAGUCAAGAGGUGAACAAAGAAAAAAAAAAAGGCAUCACAAAAGACAUUGAAAUAUAAAGCAGCAGAUGAACAUCAGUCUUUUACUGUUAUGACACCGAGCUUUGAAACACAAUCAGCUUCAAUGCAAAGUUUCAUUGAACUAAAUUUUCAGGUUAUUUUCCUUCAUCAAACUAAAUAUUUUAAUCAUUGUCUUAAUACUUUAUAUAUCUACAAAUUUUGACUCUUUUUUUUUUUUAUUAAAAUUCAUUUACUAAACUUGAUUUUUUUUUAACAAUUCAAACCUACAGGCACAUGGAGAUUCACAAAAAAAUUUCAAUCAACUAUCAACACAAAAUUUGAAUCUGUCUUCUGCAGUGUACUUUCAAAGUCAAAGUUCAAACAAUGCAUUAGAAAAUGUUGAUAUCAAUGAAAAGGGAAUAUAGCAGAUCUGAGCAGCACAUUUUGUAACAUAUUUUAUUUUUUUUGAACAUUAUAAAUAUUUAUAUGACAAGUAUUUUGUUAUUUUGGCAUUAGAAAUGACAUGCAAACAAAGAUGUGUAGAGAUCUAAAUUUUAUUACUUAUUUUAUAUAGUUUUUUUCAUAUUUAUAUGGAUCUGUAGAAAAAAAAUUAAUCAUGAAGAUGGAGAAAGAUUCAUACCUGAAAAUAUGAAUAAUAAAAAAUUGCAGAUGAAGAUGAAGUAACUGAGGUAGAUUUGAGUAAAGAAUGAAAAUUUGAGAAUAAAACUUCAAUUUUUUUUUAUCUUCAGCACAUAUCAAUUUUUUUUUCAACAUUAGCAGCAUCCCAAAUUGUCAAUGAAUAUUUGAAUAUUAGUAUUUAAAGAAAUUGCAAAUUCAAUAUCAAUAAAUGAACAUGCAAUAAGAUUUUCUGAUUUUCUGAUGAAGAUGAAUUGAAAAAAUCUAGAACAUUUUUUAAUUUUAAUAGUAGAAGUGUUCGGAUAAAAAAAAUGAAAGUGAUGUUUUUGGUUUAGAAAAAAGGUUUUGUGGUUUUUUGAUGAAGAUGAAUUGAAAAAAUCAAGAACACUUUCUAAUUUUAAUAAUAGAGAUGUUGAGAUAAAAAAUAUAAAAGGGUUUUUUUUUGUUUAGAAGGAAGCUUUUUUUUGAUGAAGAUGAAUUGACGAAAUCAAGAACAUUUUUUAAUUUUAAUAGUAGAUGUGUUUAGAUAAAAAAAAUGAAAGAUUUUUUUUUUUUUUUUGUUUAGAAGAAGGCUUUUUUGUUUUCCUGAUGAAGAUGAAUUGGAGAAAUAAAAAAAUUCAAUUUUUUUGAAAAUCACAAACACAAUUUUUCAUACACGGUAUGUUCUCCAUUAUUAAUGACUUUUAAUAUUUUAAUUUAUUUUUUUUAGACCCCACAGUCCACUAACCAUUUUUUACUCAAAAUUUUAGUCUCUCUCUUCUUUAUUUUACUUUGCAAUUUUAAAUUAAUAAAAUUAUCACCACAAUCCAUGUGUCAAGAUAAUAAUGAAAUUUCAUACAAGUUUUGUUUGUUAAGUCUCACUCAAAAUAGGAAAAACCAUUAUUUUCACCCUAUACUAAACAAGAAAAAUUUAAGUGCACUUAAAUUAUAUAAGUGACACAUUAUACACUUUAACUAUAUAAAAGUGAUAUUAUUGCCUCCCCGCGACCCCCAUUCUAAGACGCGUGUGUUAUACUUAUUUUAGGUGCGUCCAACCUAUUAAAUAACAAAAAUAAACGGCUAAAAACAUUAAGGGAAAAUGCAUCAUUUUCAUUUCAAACUAUAGUCAAAAAGUCGAAUCCACACCUAAAUUAUAUAAAUGACCUAUUACACACCUUAACUAUAAAAAAUAAUACUUUUUAAUAACAUGGUACUGACAUGACAGCGCGUGUAAAAUACUACACCACAUACAAGCGGUGGUAACCUGAUAGGGUGUAAAUAAUUUUAUUUUUUUAUAAUUUAAGUGUGUAAUAAUUCACUAGUAGAGUUUAGAUGUGACUUCAACUUUUCAAAUAUAAUUUAGAGUGAAAAUGAUGUCUUUUCCCUCAAAAUAAAACUUUUCCACGCACAACACACACAAACACAUGCAUAUCAUACACCAAUCAGAUUUUUUUUCACUCUCUCUCACUCUAAAAAUUCAAUGCAUCUUUUUCUCUUCACUGUCUUCUCCGGCAGCCACCAUCGCUGGAUUUCAGAAAGCCUCCCACAUCUCCAACCACACCACCACGCUCCUCUUCCUUUUUUUCCAUCGCCCAACAACCCACAAAUCUCCGUCAGCCACCACCGCCCCCUCAACAGCCACCGGUGGAGCAGCCAACCAGCCGACACCCCUUCACUGCUCUCACCGGCGGACACCACAGUUCCGACCCUUUCCUCCUUUUCUCCAUUGCACUGCCACCGCCGGACUUGGUCGCCGGACGGACGACGAGCAACGGCUAAGCUCCAUUUCUGUGUUAUCCCUUUUUCCUUUUUACCUUUUGGUUCGAAUAAAGGUGGCCUAUGCCACAAGCGGCCAGAUCUGGACGAUUUUGCGUAUAUCCAGCAUUGCUCCGUUGAAGCAACGCCAAUCCUUAUCUUACUAAAUAAAUUUUUUUUCUACAAAUUUGUGUUGUUUGGGGUGCUCUAACAUUUUAUUCUUUCACUAUUGUUGGGAUCUUUUGACAUUUUUUUAUGACUUUGAAUUCUCCGAACAAAUCUUGGCUGUCGUCGAUGAACAACGCUGCUUUGGGAUCCAUUCAUGACUGUUUUGGAUAAUUGUUGCUAUAAUUUUUACAUACUGACUUUGGUAUUCAGAUCGGUUCUUGUUUUAUCCACAUGUUGAUAACUUUGUUAAUCAUCUUCAACGAUUUUAUUUAGCCUCAUUACUGUAUUGACCAAAAUAGGUACUUGGCCAAUGAAAUUUUUCUCUCCAUCUGUAUAUUAUGCGAUCCAAUUUUAUUUUUAUCAAAGUUAUUAUUUUAUAUUAAGGGCGGCCGACACUUGAUCGAUGAAGAAAUUUUUCAUCGAUUUUUGAGGCCUUUGCAAAUUAAAAGACGGACAUUACAUAUAAAUAUGUAAUAAAAUAAAUAUUUUGGGUAAUGAAGAAAUUUUUAUAACAACGCAAAAUUUUUAUGAUUCAUAUUUUGGUAAGACGAUUUAGGACGGCUAAUAAAUUAAGCAACCACUUCAUAGCCAUGACAUAUCUAAAAUUUAAUUCGAGUCCGCUUUUUAAUAAAAAAAUAUAUUUUUAAAUACAUAUAUGCAUACGUACCUUUAAUUUAUUUCAGUAAUUAUUUAUUUAUUAUUAACAUUUUUAUUACAAGUGUUUAUACAGGUUAAUAAAACAUUUGUUGGAAGUGGCAUUUAAGGAAGAUUUUAAAUUUUUCAUUGUAUUUUUAUAUUUACACAAAUAUUAUCAUAUUGAAAAAUUUAUUUUUGGAGCGUUAGGCGGGAAUGCUUUAACUUAUACAAUCUUUACCGCGCAUUUAGACAAAUUUAGGCCGUUAAUAUGUAUAGAAAAAUUAAAAUAAUUUAGAUAUUUAAUCAACUAAUUCAUACUUAUACAUUUAAAAAUAUUGCGUAGUCUUUUUCUGUAAAAUAUUUUUUUUUCUUUAUUCAAUUUUUCUU
rnacentral:lncRNA from 1 species